CCAGUGUAAGGGUACAAUGACUUCACGCACCUUUCGUCUGUCUGAAUAGUCCUCACUGUGUACCGCAUAUUCUCAUUAAAUACAAAUACCAGUCUUAGUCACCAAGCUAAAAUCUUUAUUUUAAAAGCAUGUUCUACUUAUACUAUCUAAUUAUUAUUAUUUGUUAUACAUUGAAACGUGCUGCCCGCCGGAGCAUUGUAAUUUUACUUUUACUUCGUCGGGUGUUCUCCUUAAGAUGUACACAGGAAACUCGGUGUAUGCAAGACGUCUGCUUGUCUAACGUAAAUGUUGAUUGGUCAGUUACAUCACGUGUCUAUGACAUCACUCACGUUACUCGCUAGUGAUACAUAAUGACAUGGCAUGUAUAUUUAAUUCUGUUGGGUUUUGUCGCUCAGUAGGAACAGCGGCCGACUCCACGCGAAAUCUUCUAAAACAAAUUGCAUUUCUACACACUCAGCUGGUAGACGGAGGAAAGACGCUGCUAUACGGCGCAGCAAGAGUGGCGCCUGCAUACAGAGGAAGUGGAGUCUUAGGAAGAUUUCACAGACUAAUUCAUAGCAAAUACUUCCGGUCACCUACAAUUUGCUACAUGACCUGUACAGUUUCUGAUGUCACCAUGACGACGAUUGGACAGAAGCUUCUAAGAGCUAACAGACAGGUGGCUGAGAAAAAAAUGACAAGUGUCGUGCUGACAUCAUUUGAUGUUAGUUUCAAAGUUUGUAAAACUUCAACACGUUUUCCGGGAAUACGAACACUCUAAUGACGACAUGUUAUCUAUCAUGUCUUGUGAUGACAGCCGCCUUCACCAUCUCUUCCCAGAAGGAAGAAUUAUUCUCGAUCUGAAGCCAUACCGACUGAUGGCAGCUAACGUGCCCCUCAUCACCAACACCUGCACACACCGCGUCUUCCUGGCUACAGACGCCAACAGUCCUCCCUUGGACACAGGCUUGCUGUCUGUCCCUACAGUCCUGUCUUCAGGAAGCUACUUCACUUGCAGUAAAGGUACCCGGUACAUAACUGAUCUUUUUGGCGAGGGAAGUGAAGAAGAGCUGCGCGCGCAUAUCACGUGGCACCUGUUGCGAUCAGCUGACGUAGGAAACGGAAAUGUUGUCUUCAGCAUCUUCUACACCAGAGGGUUGGCUGACUUUCUCGCAGACCUGGCAAGACUUUUCCACUGCGAAAAUCAAGUUUGUCCUACAAUAAGCUGAUCGCGUUAGAGCAAGAUGUUUGAAAUUUUAGUUUGUUUUAUACUUUGAUUGUUGCUGUUGUUUUUAUAUUUUAAUAUGUUUCUUAAAUUUUGCUAUCAACAUCAGUUGUCUAAAAUCAUUUAAAUGGGGAUUUUUCUGGAGAAAGCAUUUAUGAUAUUAGAAUCAGUAUAGUUCAAACAAGAUUUUAUCAUAGUGCAACCGUGAAAUUAGCUUGCUAUUCAUAUUCAAUAUCCCAACCACUUCUAUUUGACAUGACUGUGCUUACA